rnacentral:lncRNA from 1 species
UUACCGACUCCACGGACUCAACCUCUCUUAACCUCCUACGAAUCUCGCGCAAUCCUCCGGGUUGUCCACGCCCUCACGUUCUAAUCCACGAAUGCCUCGCACACGUCCGAAUCCACGAACGCCACUCGAAUCCACGAGCCCACGAUCCGAAUCCACGAACCGCCGUCAAUUACGCCGAAUCCACGACGCCAUCAUGAAGAACAUCAUGUAUAUGAUGAUCCUUCGCUUAGAGUAUUGAUGAAAAGCAGGGAAGAAAACUCCAAGCGAAGCGGAGAUCAAAUCGACAUAUAGAUAUGAAAUUUCAAUAUCUCGAUUUGACCUAAAAGAGGCUAGUAUGUAGAAAAUAGGUUUUAGAUGAAAUCCGAGCCUCUAGGGUUUCUCAAACAUGUAUUUUUGUGAUGCUUAAUAAGUUAGAGAAUCCCAACAGCUUAUUUAUAGACUUUAGAAUCAAUUGGAGUCGGAUUAGAAAGUUUUCACGAUUUUACACAGUGUAUCGGUACACGAAAGGCUGUCACCGGUUACACAAUGACGGAAGGAAAAAUUUGUGAAGCCAAAGUUGAUGGCUGUACCGGUACGGGGCAAUUGCUGUACCGGUACACGGUGCAAUUUUCACAUUUUGCACUGUUUCAGGUUCCGCAGAGUUCCGAAGCACUUUCUAAUCAGCUAAACAUUAAUAAUAAUGAUUCUAACGCCUAUAACUAAGUAUGAAUCACCAUAACAUGAAUUAACACAUUACCUUUAUGUCGUGAUCCACAUUGUGAGUUACUUUCCAAAAUCUUCGAAAUCUUGAAUUCUUCAAUCUUCGACGACACUCACCGAUUCUUCAAGACUCCGACUCGCUUCACGGAACUUGCUAACACACAAGACUUACUAGGAUCCGCGCAACUUGCGCCAAGGUGAUCGGACUGUAGCCGAGUACGAGCGGGAGUUUUCUCGGCUUCUUCACUGCGUGCCUUUCGUCGUACGGGACAACGAGGAUAAGGCCCGCAUCUUCGAGCGAGGAUUGCGACCGUCGAUCUUCCGGUUUGCGCAAUCCUCUAACCUCCAAACCUACCGGGAGGUGGUGGAUCGCACGCUCAUCGUGGAGAGCGACGCGGCAGACGUCCAGGAGCGGCGAGAGGCGAUGGACAAUGGUGAAAGUUUUGGGGUGCCCAAGGAUCUAUCUAGAUUGUAUCUCGCACCUAGAAGGGGGUGAAUAGGUGUAAUAGCCAAAAACCACAAAUCUCAAUGCGAUAAAAAUAAAUACGAAAAAUAAAAAACACAUCGAGACUUACGUGGGAAACUCCAACUUGGAGAAAAAUCCACGGGACCAACACACGAAAAAAUAAUUCACUAAGAGAAAAGAUUACAAGGUGAUUACCGACUCCACGGACGCAACCUCUCUUAACCUCCUAUGAAUCUCGCGCAAUCCUCCGGGUUGUCCACGCCCUCACGUUCGAAUCCACGAACGCCUCACACAUGUCCGAAUCGACGAACGCCACUCGAAUCCACGAGCCCACGAUCCGAAUCCUCGAACCGCCGUCAAUCACGCCGAAUCCACGACGCCAUCAUGAAGAACAUCAUGUAUA